UGUGUCCUUUUGAUAACUUUGUUGAGCUUGUUUUUAGCUGCAUGUCUUUUUCUAUCUCACUGAACAAAGUGAUGUAUGUGAACUGGUUCAGCUGGUAAGGCUGGUUAUGAAUCAGAGGGAGAAGCUACAGACAGGUGAGGGAAGGGGAAAGUUUGAAGGCAGAUUGCCAGAUGCCAUUUUACAGCUCGACAGGAGGAGAACAACAGGCUGGUAAGGCUGGUUAUGAAUUAGAGGGAGAAGCUGCAGACAGGUGAGGGAAGGGGAAAGUUUGAAGGCAGACUGCCAGAUGCCAUUUUACAGCUCGACAGGAGGAGAACAACAGGACUGGAGAAGAUGAGUGAUUUUAAAGAUGAGGAAGAGG